rnacentral:rRNA from 1 species
UACGUAGGAGGCUAGCGUUGUCCGGAAUCAUUGGGCGUAAAGCGCGUGUAGGCGGUCCGGUAAGUCCGCUGUGAAAGUCGGGGGCUCAACCCUCGGAUGCCGGUGGAUACUGUCGGGCUUGAGUACGGAAGAGGCGAGUGGAAUUCCUGGUGUAGCGGUGAAAUGCGCAGAUAUCAGGAGGAACACCAAUUGCGAAGGCAGCUCGCUGGGACGUUACUGGCGCUGAGACGCGAAAGCGUGGGGAGCAAACAGG